rnacentral:rRNA from 1 species
CGCGUAGGUGGCUUGUCAGGUCUGAUGUGAAAUCUCGGGGCUCAACCCCGAACGUGCAUCGGAAACCGGCUUGCUAGAGUCUGGGAGAGGAGAGUGGAAUUCCUGGUGUAGCGGUGAAAUGCGUAGAUAUCAGGAGGAACACCGGUAGCGAAGGCGGCUCUCUGGAACAGUACUGACACUGAGGCGCGAAAGCUAGGGGAGCGAACA